rnacentral:piRNA from 1 species
UUCUAUUGUGUAAUGUGCUGGGUGCG